rnacentral:rRNA from 1 species
UACGUAGGGGGCAAGCGUUGUCCGGAAUCACUGGGCGUAAAGCGCGUGUAGGCGGCCCUGCAAGUCGGGUGUGAAAUCCCACGGCUCAACCGUGGAAGUGCAUUCGAAACUGCAGGGCUAGAGUCCUGGAGAGGAAGGUGGAAUGCUUGGUGUAGAGGUGAAAUUCGUAGAUAUCAAGCGGAACACCGGUGGCGAAGGCGGCCUUCUGGACAGUGACUGACGCUGAGACGCGAAAGCGUGGGGAGCAAACAGG